rnacentral:rRNA from 1 species
AUUGAACGCUGGCGGCAUGCCUUACACAUGCAAGUCGAACGGCAGCACGGGAGCAAUCCUGGUGGCGAGUGGCGAACGGGUGAGUAAUACAUCGGAACGUGCCCGAUCGUGGGGGAUAACGAAGCGAAAGCUUUGCUAAUACCGCAUACGAUCUACGGAUGAAAGCAGGGGACCGCAAGGCCUUGCGCGAACGGAGCGGCCGAUGGCAGAUUAGGUAGUUGGUGGGAUAAAAGCUUACCAAGCCGACGAUCUGUAGCUGGUCUGAGAGGACGACCAGCCACACUGGGACUGAGACACGGCCCAGACUCCUACGGGAGGCAGCAGUGGGGAAUUUUGGACAAUGGGCGAAAGCCUGAUCCAGCCAUGCCGCGUGCAGGAUGAAGGCCUUCGGGUUGUAAACUGCUUUUGUACGGGACGAAAAGACUCUGGUUAAUACCUGGGGUCCAUGACGGUACCGUAAGAAUAAGCACCGGCUAACUACGUGCCAGCAGCCGCCGUAACAC